rnacentral:misc_RNA from 1 species
AAGUCGUAACAAGGUUUCCGUAGGUGAACCUGCGGAAGGAUCAUUAAAGAAUGAAGUUUUUGGGGUUUUAAAUUCCAAAAAAUAAUUCACCAUUUGUGCACUGUUAUUAGAUAUACUUUGGUUAGAGCUUUGAUUUCAUUUAUUGGAAUCAACUUCUUGCUGACUCUAUCCUUUUUAAAGGACAGUUGGCUAUGAAGCGGCCUACCAAGGUUUUUUUAUCAAACACAUUUAAUCCAACUGACCUAAAACAAAUAAUUAAAUCAUAACUUUCAACAACGGAUCUCUUGGCUCUC